UUAUCUGUGGGGCACCAUCCUGUAUUGCCCUGGCUCCACACCAAGCACGGGGGCACGUCCCCCACAUCCCAUCCCUGCUCUGACUGACUGGCAGCUGGUGCUCGCUCACCUCUCUAUCUGGGACAGGAACUUGGUCUCAAAGAUCCCUCUGGUCUUCAGCCUCUCCGAGAUCCGUCCCCGGAAGAGCAGCCCUUUCUUGGUGAAGUCCAUCAGGAUGUUGCGGACGAUUUCCCCCAGGCCAAUUAAUGAUGCCAAAGAGAGCCAGGAUGUGGGAGCAGCCCAGCUUCUCCCAGCCCUGUGGCUGCUCACCUCUCUCCUGUGAAUGGCCUCCUUCAGCAGCCCCACCACGUCCUCUCCCUCGCAGCCCGUCGCCUUGAAACCUUUUGUCCACUUCAGGAGAAUUCCCUGGUGUGGGGAAAAAGCCCCCAGUGAGUCCCCCUGAGGAGCAGGUGGGAGGCACAGCCAGGGAAGCUGCCAGGAGGGUGGGGUUACCUCGUCCAGGUUGUUCUGCUGGCAAGGGAAGGAGAAGGUGAAUCCCAGCGGCAGCGACACGCCCUUCAUCCCCAUGUACUCCAGGAAAUCCGAGAUGCAGUGGACAAUGUGGUCAAAGAGCUGGACGAGCAAAGCCAAAGAGAGCAGUUACCACCACAGCCAGAGCCCAGCUGGAAGCCAAAUUUCUGGGGAUUCUGACCCAUUCCCAGGCCUGCUGGAGUGUUCAAACUGCUCCCAGGACUUGGAACAGAGCAGGACGUGGGAGGUGCAGAACGCCCCAGAGGCUCAGUGCUCUGCCCAGUACCAAACUGGAGGUUUGUGCCACUCCCACCACAAAGAGGAACUGGCCACAGCAGAGGAUGCAGCCCCUCCCAAGGAUGCAGGACCUGCACAGGCUCACACACAGGGGCUUUACACAGGACACAUCACCUGUUCCAUCAGGAGUGGAGCACACGUAGGUGGGCAGCAUCUUCACCGUCGCCUCCGCGUGCGUCUCCUUGCCCAGCCCUUUCUCCAUCUCUAUCCUCAUCCUCUCCUUCACCUCCAGCAGCUGCUCGUGGCUCAGCUUGAGGGGCUCCAGGAUCUUCUGGCGGGCCUGGUGCUGUGCAGCCAGCCUGUAGGCCACGGCGGUCACCAUGGCCGCCCCUUUGCCGCUGCCGUCCUCGGAGCGGAUGAAGCGAAUCUCGCAGUCGGGCAGCAGCUUCCGCACGGUCUUGUGGAGGCGGCGGGCAAAGCUGGGCAGGAGGAGGAGAGGGGACCUCAGUGUGACCCUCUGGGGACACCCUGGGGUCCAAACGAGGGGCCCGAGGGGACAUUUGGGAGCGCUUCUCUUGUGCCGAGCUGUGUGCACUGCUGGCAGCAGCAGAUCCCUCUCUGUCCCUGUGCCCAGCACCCCAGAAUCCAUGGCCCUGUCCCCAGAUCCCUGUCCCUAUCCCCAGCACCCUGAGAUCCCUCUCUGUCCCUGUGCCCAGCACCCCAGAAUCCAUGGCCCUGUCCCUGUCCCCAGAUCCCUGUCCUCAUCCCCAUCCCUGUCCCUGUCCCCAGCCCCUGUCCCACACUCACUGAGGGUGUUUCUUGU